rnacentral:tRNA from 1 species
GGGGUCGUAGCUCAGCUUGGUUAGAGCGCCAGUCUGUCACACUGGAGGCCGCGAGUUCGAUCCUCGUCGGCCCCGCAA